ensembl:lincRNA
AUGAUCCAUUUUCAUGCUUUUCAUUUAUUAAAUUAUAGAGACAAUAAGAGCAUUAUUUGUCUGAAAAAUACAGUAGAAAUACUUGCAAUCUUAUUUCAUUAUCACAAUGACCACUGCACUCUUUUCAUGGAGGGAUGCUCUGUUUUUUACAGGGAAGUCUGUUUGCUUGGUGGUCCUCCAGCCCUGGGUACGCCGGGUGAGCAUGGGUGGCGGCCGUCCAGCCCACGCCCCCUGCCCUCCCUCCACCACCCUGAGCACUUCCUCACUGGCCCCGCCCCCGGUCCUCAGAGGUGUCUGGAGAGAGGCGCCCUCGUGUCCGCCGCCACGUGGGGUGGAUUGAAUCCAUGCAUCACGCUUCAGGCCGUGGGAGCUAAUGUGAUAACUGCUCAGCCUGGAGCUGCUGGAGCAUAUUACACUCAUCAGUCACCGCUGCCACAGCACACCGUCUUCCUAGCCGCCCGAGUGAAAGCCGGGGCUUCUUCUGGGGUUGACAAAUGGCACAGCCUAUGGACAGCUCUACUCCAACCAAAUUUGAUCCCUAUGCGUCUCAAGACUCAAAAUCCCAGGAGAGAGAAUCCUAUGGACUCAGCUCACAUUGAGUAUCCAAAUAAUACUGUUCAUCUUCACCCAUACUCUGAACCAAUACAGAAUAAGACAAGGGAAUAAGGCCAAUGGAGACCAAAGUAGAGAAUGUGAUGCGAGCAAGUAUGCUCUCCCAUAUAGACCCUGAAGAGUCUUAUGCUGGAGAAUAAGCACUCUUGAGAGUGUCAGAACUCGGCUUCCCUGCUGCUGCUGCUUCUAAGUUGGUUUAUUCAUGUCCGACUCUGUGUGACCCCAUAGACGGCAGCCCACCAGGCUUCUCUGUCCCUGGGAUUCUCCAGGCAAGAAUAUUGGAGUGGGUUGCCAUUUUAUUCUCCAAUGCAAGCAUGCACGCUAAGUCGCUUCAGUCGUGUCUGACUCUGUGUGACCCUAUGGACAGCACCCCACCAGGCUCCUCCGUCCACAGGAUUCUCUAGCAAGAGUACUGGAGUGAAGUGCCAUUUCCUUCUCCACAGCUUCCCUAGAGUGGUGAUUUGUAGCCCAAGAGGUUGGAGCAAGGCAUAAUUAUUGCUGAUAGCAGAAAACUGACCAAAAGAUUGAAAUGGAAACAAAAAGGAAACAUGAGAGGAUGGGGAGGAAUUAAACCAGAUGGAUUGAGUUUAAGGAGAGUUCCAGCUAUGAGGUUCUAGGAUUUUCUAAUGUGAGGUCUUACCUGGUAGAUGAUGAACAUGGGCAAUUUAAAAAACAUUUCUAAAUCUCAUAUUCCUCAUCUUUAAAUUGAUAUUUUAAAUGUCCACCUCAGCAGGGUUAUUGUGAAAUAAAUACUAUAUGUAUAAAAUGAGGCAGCUUGAAUGAAGGGGUCCCACUCAGGACACACACUGGUCUCUUUUCUACUGCCUCAUGUUCUUGUUUCCUUUUUCAAAAUUCUCAUUCCCAAAGAAUGAUAAGUUCUAAGUAUUUUCAACAAAAGAUGCACUCCGAUGGCUCAGAAGUAGAGGGGCAGACUUGCUCCACCUGUGGAGGGGCAGGGAACGCUCCUUACACUUCCAAGUUCACCACCUGGGUCCUGCGGGCCCAGAAGAAGCACCUGUGAUGAAAAGCAAGGGGCAAUGAAGACGAGUGUCAUCUGUUCUCACUUACAAGUAAGUGUUUCGUGUUAAAAGUGAUAUACACGAUCUCAUUUACAAGGCAGAAAUAGACUCGCUGACAUAGAACACAAACUUAUGGUCGCCAAAGGGUAAAAGAGGUGGGGAGGGAUAAAUUAGUCUGGAAUUAGCAGAUACACACUAUUAUGCAUUAGACUGAUAAAGAACAAGAACCUACUGUAUAGCAAAGGGAACUAUAUUCAAUAUAUUGUAAUAACCUAUAACAGAAAAGAAUCUGAAAGGUAUAUAUUUAAAAAACUGAAUCACUUUGCUGUACACCGGAAACCAACACAACAUUGUAAAUCAACUAUAUUUCAAUAAAAAAAUAAAGUGCUAAGAAAAAAAUAAGGGGUAAUAAAGGGGUGUGUGGGGGUGGUGUGCAGUGACUAACGCAAUGACCUGAAGAGAGGAUGGGCUGGGGCUCUGAGAGGUCAGCCGAGCGCAGAGCCUGCCCUGGGUCAGGGUGCUUUUGUCUCAUCUCCACCCCGGAAUGGCUCCUGGGGGCCCCUCUGUUCCCUGGGCCUCAGUCUUGAGAAUGGCUGGAUGGGGAAGGAAAAUAUUUGAUUGUCACUGGUGUAGUCUCUCUCCACCCUGGCCUGAGGUCCCUCUAAUGAAAAUAAAAGGGAGCUGCCUCUCUCGAGGGCUGGCUGGCUGCGGCAUCACAGUGCUGGCUCCAGUCACGCCGCCAGCUGCCCUGCUGAAAUGACUCUCUUCAGAAAUGUUCCUGAGAGAAGUGAUUUCCAUGCCCACGUGAAGCACAUUUGUUCUCUCAUGCAGCGGGAAGGGGCCAUUUAGCGAAUGACUGCUUUCUCUCACCACUAGGUGCCCGGGGAGAGAUAAUUCAUUUCACAGAGGCAAGCGAUUUACUCCUGUAGGUUCAGGACAAGCUGUGCCAGGCCUCUAAAGCUCUGGAAAAUUCCCCAAGUCUCCCCUGAAAUGGUUGCUAUUGCUCAGCACACUGAGCAGAACCCUGCAGGGUUCUUCAGCUAGUUGUUCGUUCCCGCAGAGCACUCAUGAAGCACCUUCUAUGUACAGAAUCCUGCUUGCGGCACCUGGGAGAUGUGGAAGGAGGGGUGUGAAUCCUCUGAAGACUCACAGAUGAGCCCGGGAGACAGAGCAAGUCCCAGACUCAGGGUCGGGAGACCGUCCACAAGGCCCUGGGCCAGCACCAUUAUCCUCUGUUUCUCCAGCUGAGAGAUGAGGGGACUCGGUCAUGUAUCCAUGCAGAUCCCCCUCUCCUGCCGUCUGAGAGGCUACACAGAGCAUGACAGUGACUCCGGUGCCUGAUGGGAGGAUGAGGGGACUGCCUGGCUCCUGCAAAGCCAGGCCCUCCCUGCUCCUCGGUACACACCAAGUGUGUUUCCUUUCUGCGCCUUUGCUUUCUGCACCUGUGAUGCCUCCCUCCCCACUUCGCUGCUCCCAGCCCCUCUUCCCUGAAGCUUCUCCUGGCUCCAGUGGGUUUUGGCUUAGCAAGACUUUUAAGGUCUUCAGGCCUUUGAGUUCUAAUUAGAGCUUUGUGUCUUUGAGAUCCCUUAUUUUCAGACUGCAAGCAGUUGGGUAAGGUUGGUUCUUAGGUUACAGAACUAACACCCUCUAACAACCCCAGGUUCUACCGCCUUCAUUUCACAGAUGAGGAUGCUGAAGAGGAGACAGUGACCUACCCAAGGUAAUUCAGGGACCAAGAGACUGGACUCAGGUCUGCUGUUGACCAGGCUGAGGUUAUUUCUAGUCCGUUUAUGUAAUUAUUUUAUUCAUGCAUACAUUUAACAACAGUAAUUAGAUUCCUCUUUGCCAGGCCCUAGACUAGGUACCAGACCAUAGAAAGAUGAAAAGGGCCUUCAAAGUUUGACAGGUGAGACAGAUCUGCAAACAUGUCAUUCUGGGUGAUGAUUCACACAGUUUCACCUGUGUGAAUCUGUAUCCUCUUUCAUGUAGAAACUAGCCAGCAGAUCCUAACUAAUUUGGUAACAUACAGUUUCUUCCCUCCAAUCUAUUUCCAGUUGGAGUCAGUUUUGGAAAGUGCAAAUUAUAUCUCUGAACUUUCUAGCCCCCAGUGACCCCGAGUGGAGCCCCAGUGCCUGGCUGUGGCCAGCAGAAUGCCGCAGAAUUGGACCCAUGCUCAUCUCCAAACAGCAGGAGGCCAGGUGUGGUCUCCUGCGGCCCGCUGGGCUUCUAGGACCACGCUGACUUAGUGAUGCCCUGUGUGGCAUGAACCCUGACAGAUGGUUUUCUCUUUUGUGAGGCCAGUGCUUGACUUACUCUUUGAUUGCCAAGGCAUCCAUUGCAGAGGUGUAAUCCUCAGUGGAUAAAGAGCCAGGCUGCCCCCCUUGGAGUUCCUCUGUUUAAAAAACCUUUGGUUGAUUCAGUUAAGUGACCAUUGGAUCACUUUUUCCCCUACUUUUCUCCCCGUGCUUUUAAUUCCUGAUCUUAUGAUCAGGACCUUGUGACCUUGUGAACCUCUAGACUCCCCCCACCCCCACCUCUGCCCCAACAGAAGAAGAAUCCUGGACCAGCAUGUUCUUUCUAUUUAUCUGUCUCUCUCUCCCUACCCCAUCUCCUCCUAUCUUGCAGCCUCACUGUGUGGUCCAGAGCAAGCCAAGUACCCUCCAGAACCUGUGAGUAAUAAUCCUUGUCUGCUUCAAAUUUUCCUGAUGCACGUGUCUAAUGGCAUCUUACAAUCAUAAUAAGAACCACCGGGGCCAGUCCAGCCACAAUGUUGGUUCCAAAAGGAGGGCCUGGGCCCAGGUGAGUGUCCCCCAGCAUUUCUAGCUGAUAGCACCACUAUGGGUAGGCUGAGACUGUCACAAAUCAACCUGCAUCUUCCCCUGAGGUCCCACUUUAGACUACGUGCCCCAGGGAUACUGAAUGGUCUACUCCCUGUACAGCCUCCAGGCCCUGAAGGAGCAGAGUGCUGGCACUCAGGGCAGGCCAGUCCUGCCCAGGCCCAGCAGAGAGCCUGUUGCUUCCCAGCUGAAGGGCCAGUGUUGGGCUGGCCUCUGCUUGAGCAGCCGGACAGCACGCUAAGAGGAAGUCAUAUAUCCUGAAUCCCUGAAAUUAGCUCAACAUCCCCAGAAUGGAGCAUCUCACCUUGAUCGAUGAGGAGGAUAGACUAAAAAUUAUAAGCUGUCUUUCUUUCUCUACAUAAUGUCUGAGACAUAUUAACCAUUUUCAUGGUUUCGACUGAGCAAUAGAUAUUUAUUAUACAAUACUGCUUGAAAAAGUCAUUCUGUUCCACCCUUCAUCUCUAUGUUCUGGCCUUUCCCCAUCAUUUUUGAGAAUAUAUGAAAAACAGAGCAAGUGUGCUUUUAAGUUAUAUUAAGAAAUUUAAUCCAUGGUGAGAAAACCCUUUGUCAUACAUGAAUUGAACAUUAUGAGUGCACAAAUCUUUAUCCAUCGGAGUUCUGAGUUGCAAGGUACAUAAAUGGACUCCAGAAAUAGAAAAUAAGUUCAUUCUAAUGGUAUCAGAAUUGCCCCAAAGGCUUGAGAAGCAAGACAUAAAGGAG